rnacentral:rRNA from 1 species
GAUGAACGCUGGCGGCGUGCCUAAUACAUGCAAGUCGAGCGAACGGACGAGAAGCUUGCUUCUCUGAUGUUAGCGGCGGACGGGUGAGUAACGCGUGGAUAACCUACUUAUAAGACUGGGAUAACUUCGGGAAACCGGAGCUAAUACCGGAUAAUAUUUUGAACCGCAGGGUUCAAAAGUGAAAGACGGUCUUGCUGUUACUUAUAGAUGGAUCCGCGCUGCAUUAGCUAGUUGGUAAGGUAACGGCUUACCAAGGCAACGAUGCAUAGCCGACCUGAGAGGGUGAUCAGCCACACUGGAACUGAGACACGGUCCAGACUCCUACGGGAGGCAGCAGUAGGGAAUCUUCCGCAAUGGGCGAAAGCCUGACGGAGCAACGCCGCGUGAGUGAUGAAGGUCUUCGGAUCGUAAAACUCUGUUAUUAGGGAAGAACAUAUGUGUAAGUAACUGUGCACAUCUUGACGGUACCUAAUCAGAAAGCCACGGCUAACUACGUG